rnacentral:rRNA from 1 species
UUGGAGGGCAAGUCUGGUGCCAGCAGCCGCGGUAAUUCCAGCUCCAAUAGCGUAUAUUAAAGUUGCUGCAGUUAAAAAGCUCGUAGUUGAAUUUCGGGACUAAUAUGUCGGUCGUGCCUCGGUACGUACUGGUAUUUUUGGUUUCUCCCUUCUGACGAACCUUGAUGUCAUUAAUUUGGUGUCUUGGGAAAUCAGGACUGUUACUUUGAAAAAAUUAGAGUGUUUAAAGCAGGCUCACGCUUGAAUACAUUAGCAUGGAAUAAUGAAAUAGGACGUUUGAUUCUAUUUUGUUGGUUUCUAGGAUCGACGUAAUGAUUAAUAGGGAUAGUUGGGGGCAUUAGUAUUCAAUUGUCAGAGGUGAAAUUCUUGGAUUUAUUGAAGACUAACUACUGCGAAAGCAUUUGCCAAGGAUGUUUUCAUUAAUCAAGAACGAAAGUUAGGGGAUCGAAGACGAUCAGAUACCGUCGUAGUCUUAACCAUAAACUAUGCCGACUAGGGAUCGGAUGAUGUUAAUUUUUUAAUGACUCAUUCGGCGCCUUACGGGAAAC